CCAAACUGUUGCCUCGGCGGGAUCUCUGCCCCGGGUGCGUCGCAGCCCCGGACCAAGGCGCCCGCCGGAGGACCAACCAAAACUCUUUUUGUAUACCCCCUCGCGGGUUUUUUUAUAAUCUGAGCCUUCUCGGCGCCUCUCGUAGGCGUUUCGAAAAUGAAUCAAAACUUUCAACAACGGAUCUCUUGGUUCUGGCAUCGAUGAAGAACGCAGCGAAAUGCGAUAAGUAAUGUGAAUUGCAGAAUUCAGUGAAUCAUCGAAUCUUUGAACGCACAUUGCGCCCGCCAGUAUUCUGGCGGGCAUGCCUGUCCGAGCGUCAUUUCAACCCUCGAACCCCUCCGGGGGGUCGGCGUUGGGGAUCGGCCCUGCCUCUUGGCGGUGGCCGUCUCCGAAAUACAGUGGCGGUCUCGCCGCAGCCUCUCCUGCGCAGUAGUUUGCACACUCGCAUCGGGAGCGCGGCGCGUCCACAGCCGUUAAACACCCAACUUCUGAAAUGUUGACCUCGGAUCAGGUAGGAAUACCCGCUGAACUUAAGCAUAUCAAAA
rnacentral:rRNA from 1 species